rnacentral:lncRNA from 1 species
GAUUUCAAUUGACUUUGUCUAUAAUGAUAACUUGCUCACCAUAUAAGAAAAUGAUACACAGGUCACAUAAUCUUGAGGAACAAAAACCCAUGGUAUCAGCCUCACCUUCUCUGUUUUCAACUCUUCAAUUUGGGGCUCUGGUUUGCACUGCAACUUCCUAUUCCUCUGUCUUCGACCACAGUUUUCAUUUUCAACUGCAACAAAGGAAGCAAUCGCAUCAGAAAUCAAAAUCCCAAAAUUCAGAAAUCAAAAUAUUAGGGCAAAGAGGAGACCAUGACGGGACUAGAUUCUCUGACAAUGAUGAUGAAAAACACAUACGAUUCGAUCUGAAAUCAAAAUUGGGUUUUUGAAAUUGGGGGAGAUGGCUGAGAAUGUUAUGGUCGAGGGCUGAGUGAGAGAGAAGUGAGGGCUCACGCGGGUGUUAGGGAGAGAUAGCUGAGGGCUCGAGAGUUUGCUGGGAGAGAGAGGCUGGGUGCGUGUUUCAUUAGAGAGAGAGCUAGGUGUUUCUGGGAUAUAGAGAGAGCUCAGAGGCACGAGGGAAUGAACAAGAAUUAUGUUAUGUGUGACUUGAAUGGUUGAGAGAGUGUGAUGUCGAGAGGGAUAAUUUGGUUGAGCUAUAGUUUUUGGUUGAGUCAUUAGUUUUUUUUUUUUAAGUGUCGGGGGGAGAAUUUAACUUUGGGCUGAAAUAUAGGAGGGAAAGGACACACGCCAAUAGUUGGCAUUCAUUUUGACAGACAAUCACACAACGUAACAAAUAUAAACAUUGUCUGAUGGUCGAAAUUUUAGGUUUCAACAAACUUUGGCAUGCCGUUAGAUUUUUCAGUCACACAACAGAAUGUUUUAAACUGUUGUAUAUAUUUUCUAAAUUUGCACUAGGUAUUGCCUAGUAUAAAUUGUAACAACAUCAUACAACAAAGAAAUAAAAGUCUAUUGUCUAAACAUUUUGCAUCUUGCACGCCUUUCAAUUUGGUGAUGGGGGGAAUCCUUCCGCCAAAAUUUUCAUAAAUCAUACAACAGAAAAUUAGCAUCAUUGUUGUCUUUUGAACUCUUGAAAUAUAACCUGACAAUUUCGUGUUAUCAGACAACAAAACUUUGUAACUUUGCGUUGUAUAUAACAGUUCACUUCAUCAGACAAGUAGGGAACCCUAAAAGGUUGUCUGAUGAGUGUUGUCUGAUAACGUUUUUGUAGUAGUGGUCGAUCUCAUUGUUCUCUUUCGCUCUCCUGAAACUUCCAU